rnacentral:rRNA from 1 species
CAAAGGAAUUGACGGGGACUUGCACAAGCGGUGGAUUAUGCGGUUCAAUUCGAUGAUAAGCGAAAAACCUUACCAAGGCUAGAAAUUCAUAUGAAGCUAGCAGAAAUGCAAAGCGUCUCACAAGGACAUAUGGACAGGUGAUGCAUGGCCGUCGUCAGUUCGUGAUUUGAAUUGUUCCCUUUAGUGGGGUAACGAACGCAACCCUCAUUGGCUGUUACAAGUGUCAGCCGAGACUACCCAGCACAGAGCGCACUACGUAUACAAUUUUUAAUUGAAAAUUAAAAAAUUAAAAU